rnacentral:rRNA from 1 species
CCCUUGGUCAGGUUGAAGUUCAGGUAACACUGAAUGGAGGACCGAACCGUCUUACGUUGACAAGUGAGCGGAUGAACUGAGGGUAGCGGAGAAAUUCCAAUCGAACCUGGAGAUAGCUGGUUCUCUCCGAAAUAGCUUUAGGGCUAGCCUCAAGUGAUGAUUAUUGGAGGUAGAGCACUGUUUGGACGAGGGGCCCCUCUCGGGUUACCGAAUUCAGACAAACUCCGAAUGCCAAUUAAUUUAACUUGGGAGUCAGAACAUGGGUGAUAAGGUCCGUGUUCGAAAGGGAAACAGCCCAGACCACCAGCUAAGGUCCCAAAAUAUAUGUUAAGUGGAAAAGGAUGUGGCGUUGCCCAGACAACUAGGAUGUUGGCUUAGAAGCAGCUAUCAUUUAAAGAGUGCGUAAUAGCUCACUAGUCGAGUGACACUGCGCCGAAAAUGUACCGGGGCUAAACAUAUUACCGAAGCUGUGGAUUGUCCUUUGGACAAUGGUAGGAGAGCGUUCUAAGGGCGUUGAAGCAUGAUCGUAAGGACAUGUGGAGCGCUUAGAAGUGAGAAUGCCGGUGUGAGUAGCGAAAGACGGGUGAGAAUCCCGUCCACCGAUUGACUAAGGUUUCCAGAGGAAGGCUCGUCCGCUCUGGGUUAGUCGGGUCCUAAGCUGAGGCCGACAGGCGUAGGCGAUGGAUAACAGGUUGAUAUUCCUGUACCACCUAUAAUCGUUUUAAUCGAUGGGGGGACGCAGUAGGAUAGGCGAAGCGUGCGAUUGGAUUGCACGUCUAAGCAGUAAGGCUGAGUAUUAGGCAAAUCCGGUACUCGUUAAGGCUGAGCUGUGAUGGGGAGAAGACAUUGUGUCUUCGAGUCGUUGAUUUCACACUGCCGAGAAAAGCCUCUAGAUAGAAAAUAGGUGCCCGUACCGCAAACCGACACAGGUAGUCAAGAUGAGAAUUCUAAGGUGAGCGAGCGAACUCUCGUUAAGGAACUCGGCAAAAUGACCCCGUAACUUCGGGAGAAGGGGUGCUCUUUAGGGUUAACGCCCAGAAGAGCCGCAGUGAAUAGGCCCAAGCGACUGUUUAUCAAAAACACAGGUCUCUGCUAAACCGUAAGGUGAUGUAUAGGGGCUGACGCCUGCCCGGUGCUGGAAGGUUAAGAGGAGUGGUUAGCUUCUGCGAAGCUACGAAUCGAAGCCCCAGUAAACGGCGGCCGUAACUAUAACGGUCCUAAGGUAGCGAAAUUCCUUGUCGGGUAAGUUCCGACCCGCACGAAAGGCGUAACGAUUUGGGCACUGUCUCAACGAGAGACUCGGUGAAAUCAUAGUACCUGUGAAGAUGCAGGUUACCCGCGACAGGACGGAAAGACCCCGUGGAGCUUUACUGUAGCCUGAUAUUGAAAUUCGGCACAGCUUGUACAGGAUAGGUAGGAGCCUUUGAAACGUGAGCGCUAGCUUACGUGGAGGCGCUGGUGGGAUACUACCCUAGCUGUGUUGGCUUUCUAACCCGCACCACUUAUCGUGGUGGGAGACAGUGUCAGGCGGGCAGUUUGACUGGGGCGGUCGCCUCCUAAAAGGUAACGGAGGCGCUCAAAGGUUCCCUCAGAAUGGUUGGAAAUCAUUCAUAGAGUGUAAAGGCAUAAGGGAGCUUGACUGCGAGACCUACAAGUCGAGCAGGGUCGAAAGACGGACUUAGUGAUCCGGUGGUUCCGCAUGGAAGGGCCAUCGCUCAACGGAUAAAAGCUACCCCGGGGAUAACAGGCUUAUCUCCCCCAAGAGUUCACAUCGACGGGGAGGUUUGGCACCUCGAUGUCGGCUCAUCGCAUCCUGGGGCUGUAGUCGGUCCCAAGGGUUGGGCUGUUCGCCCAUUAAAGCGGUACGCGAGCUGGGUUCAGAACGUCGUGAGACAGUUCGGUCCCUAUCCGUCGUGGGCGUAGGAAAUUUGAGAGGAGCUGUCCUUAGUACGAGAGGACCGGGAUGGACAUACCUCUGGUGUACCAGUUGUCGUGCCAACGGCAUAGCUGGGUAGCUAUGUGUGGACGGGAUAAGUGCUGAAAGCAUCUAAGCAUGAAGCCCCCCUCAAGAUGAGAUUUCCCAACUUCGGUUAUAAGAUCCCUCAAAGAUGAUGAGGUUAAUAGGUUCGAGGUGGAAGCAUGGUGACAUGUGGAGCUGACGAAUACUAAUCGAUCGAAGACUUAAUCAAAA